rnacentral:misc_RNA from 1 species
GAUGAAGAACGUAGCGAAAUGCGAUAAGUAAUGCGAAUUGCAGAAUUUCCGUGAGUCAUCGAAUCUUUGAACGCACAUUGCGCCCAUUGGCAUUCCGAUGGGCAUGCCUGUUCGAGCGUCAUUAUCCUCCCUCAAACCUCGGGUUUGGUGUUGGACCCAAGUUGUGCGAUGAACAACUGGUCUUAAAGACAAUGACGGCGUCCGUGGGACCCUCGAUGCAACGAGCUUUAAGGAGCACGCGUCGAGUUGCAAGGACCUUCCGGGCCGGUCUCCUUUUACUAUUUUACAAGGUUGACCUCGGAUCAGGUAGGAAUACCCGCUGAACUUAAGCAUAUCAAUAAGCGGAGGA